GACGAACGCUGGCGGCGUGCCUAAUACAUGCAAGUCGAACGCAGUGGGGACGGGUGAGUAACACGUGGGUAACCUCCCAUCAGAGGGGAUAACACUUGGAAACAGGUGCUAAACCGAUACUGAUGGAUGGACCCGCGGUUCAUUAGCUAGUUGGUGUGGUAACGGCUCACCAAGGCCACGAUGCAUAUGCGCACUGGGAGGGGGAGCGGACACAAUGGGAAUGAGACCAGGCCGAGGCUCCGACGGGAGGGACGAGGAGGGGAUAUUCGGCAAUGGACGAAAGUUUGACCGAGCAACGCCGCGUGAGUGAAGAAGUGUUUCGGAUCGUAAAAAUAUGUUUUUAGGGAAGCGGUAUCUAACCAGAAAGCCACGGCUAACUACGUGCCAGCAGCCGCGGUAAUAC
rnacentral:rRNA from 1 species